GGAUGUGAGAGUGAGCUGGCUGCAACAUCUGUCAUCCCAUUCAUUUGGCUAAUCUAACUGGCUAGGUGGGUGUCCCCUUCCUCUCUUACCAGUCCAUGUGGUUUCCUNUCAAAGCUGCACUCUCAGUGGAAGAGGCUUGCCAUCCUGGGUAGAAGGAGAGGACCAUUCUUUGGUCAAGGAUGGUAAUGCAAGCAGCCUGGAAAAAAAUCAUUACAAAAACACUUUAAAAGAGCAUAUUUCUUU
rnacentral:sRNA from 1 species